rnacentral:rRNA from 1 species
UACGUAGGUGGCAAGCGUUGUCCGGAUUUACUGGGCGUAAAGAGCGCGCAGGCGGUCGUUCAAGUCGCGUGUGAAAGCCCCCGGCUCAACUGGGGAGGGUCACGCGAUACUGAUCGACUCGAAGGCAGGAGAGGGUAGUGGAAUUUCCGGUGUAGCGGUGAAAUGCGUAGAUAUCGGAAGGAACACCAGUGGCGAAAGCGGCUUCCUGGUCCAGCACCGACGUUCAGGCACGAAAGCGUGGGGAGCAAACAGG